GACGAACGCUGGCGGCGUGCUUAACACAUGCGAGUCGAACGGAAAGGCCCUGCUUGCAGGGUGCUCGAGUGGCGAACGGGUGAGUAACACGUGGGUGAUCUGCCCCUUAUUUUGGGAUAAGCCUGGGAAACUGGGUCUAAUACUGGAUAGGACCAUGCUGUAGGUGGUGUGGUGGAAAGAUUAGUUUCGGUAAGGGAUGAGCUCGCGGCCUAUCAGCUUGUUGGUGGGGUAAUGGCCUACCAAGGCGUCGACGGGUAGCCGGCCUGAGAGGGUGGACGGCCACAUUGGGACUGGGAUGCGGCCCAGAAUCCUACGGGAGGCAGCAGUGGGGAAGAUUGCACAAUGAGCGCAGGCCUGAUGCAGCGACGCCGCGUGGGGGAUGACGGCCUUCGGGUUGUAAACUCCUUUCAGCCAUGACGAAGCCCUUGUGGUGACGGUAGUGGUAGAAGAAGCACCGGCUAACUACGUG
rnacentral:rRNA from 1 species